rnacentral:tRNA from 1 species
GCGUAGGCGGACAUUGGCGAGUCACCCCGGCUGUAAACCGGGCGCCCUUGGCUGUGCUGGUUCGACUCCAGCCCUGCGCACCA